rnacentral:lncRNA from 1 species
UGGGUGAUUGCGGUCAUGCUACAAUGAGCUUUGGUAAACAAUAUAAUCAUUAUCGUUCCUGUUUAAUUUGGCAAGUCUAUUUGUGCUAUACGGGAGUCCAUUUCCCCUAUAUGGAAUGGGAUAAGCUUUUGGCCCAACCAAGCUAGUUCAAGUUGGUGCAAGUUUCUAGCUGGGCCUGGGCUCAAUCUCUAGUUGGGCUAAAACCAAGAUUGAAAAGAAUCUUUAGAUCUAAGCCUGGCUUGAAGCUUUAUAAAUUUUGGACCAAACUAGACUAGGGUGGACAUGGCCUAUACUUGCCCUGGUGGAUUCCAAGCCGAUAUCAGUAGCUAAUUUGUAAGUCCAUGAUCUUUCCACAAAUCAAUCAUAGAAUCAUGAAUAAGUCUUGAUUAAUUUAAGGAUUUCCUGAGUUGUUCGGUAGAUGGAAAAAAGGUCCGUGAUGCCAUGUGAGAUGCUAGGCAAUUAUUGAGUUGGCCCACAAGUAUAAAGGAAUAAGUUGUUUUGACAUUGAACAUAUUUUUUCAGAAAAAAAAUUAUAGAACAAAACAAGGAUAAGACCCCUUCGCCUGCCCAGAUUUCUCCAGUUGGCUUGGCGACUUUCCCGUAUGAGUUUCUUUUUUUCAAAAAAUAAAAUCUGGUUGAGAUCUCUUCCUUUAAUUCUUGUUGCAAGUGGAUUAGAUUGAUCGAUUUCUGAUUUAGAACUGGUCCGAAACUACUCCAUUCCAAACCCACACCGAAGUUAUUGGGACAAGAUUUGGAUUCAC